GACGAACGCUGGCGGCGUGCCUAAUACAUGCAAGUAGAACGCACAGUUUAUACCGUAGCUUGCUACACCAUAGACUGUGAGUUGCGAACGGGUGAGUAACGCGUAGGUAACCUGCCUGGUAGCGGGGGAUAACUAUUGGAAACGAUAGCUAAUACCGCAUAAUAUUAAUUAUUGCAUGAUAAUUAAUUGAAAGGUGCAAUUGCACCACUACCAGAUGGACCUGCGUUGUAUUAGCUAGUAGGUGAGGUAACGGCUCACCUAGGCGACGAUACAUAGCCGACCUGAGAGGGUGAUCGGCCACACUGGGACUGAGACACGGCCCAGACUCCUACGGGAGGCAGCAGUAGGGAAUCUUCGGCAAUGGACGAAAGUCUGACCGAGCAACGCCGCGUGAGUGAAGAAGGUUUUCGGAUCGUAAAGCUCUGUUGUAAGAGAAGAACGGGUGUGAGAGUGGAAAGUUCACACUGUGACGGUAUCUUACCAGAAAGGGACGGCUAACUACGUGCCAGCAGCCGCGGUAAUACGUAGGUCCCGAGCGUUGUCCGGAUUUAUUGGGCGUAAAGCGAGCGCAGGCGGUUAGAUAAGUCUGAUGUGAAAAUGCAGGGCUCAACUCUGUAUUGCGUUGGAAACUGUAUAACUAGAGUACUGGAGAGGUAAGCGGAACUACAAGUGUAGAGGUGAAAUUCGUAGAUAUUUGUAGGAAUGCCGAUGGGGAAGCCAGCUUACUGGACAGAUACUGACGCUAAAGCGCGAAAGCGUGGGUAGCAAACAGG
rnacentral:rRNA from 1 species